GACGAACGCUGGCGGCGUGCUUAACACAUGCAAGUCGAACGGAAAGGCCUGCUUUCCCUUGUGGAUUGCGGGUACUCGAGUGGCGAACGGGUGAGUAACACGUGAGUGAUCUGCCCCCAACUUGGGUAUAAGCCUGGGAAACUGGGUCUAAUUCCCGAUAGGACUGCAGGGUGGUGCCUGUGGUGGAAAACGAUUUUCUAGUGGUUGGGGAUGAGCUCGCGGCCUAUCAGCUUGUUGGUGGGGUAAUGGCCUACCAAGGCGGCGACGGGUAGCCGGCCUGAGAGGGUGGACGGCCACAUUGGGACUGAGAUACGGCCCAGACUCCUACGGGAGGCAGCAGUGGGGAAUAAUGCACGAUGGGCGGAAGCCUGAUGCAGCGACGCCGCGUGGGGGAUGACGGCCUUCGGGUUGUAAACUCCUUUCGACCGCGAGGAAGCCACCUGGUUGGAAGGGUGGUGACGGUAGUGGUAGAAGAAGCACCGGCUAACUACGUG
rnacentral:rRNA from 1 species